rnacentral:rRNA from 1 species
UACGUAGGGGGCUAGCGUUGUCCGGAUUUAUUGGGCGUAAAGAGCGUGUAGGCGGCCAGGUAGGUCUGCUGUGAAAACUCGAGGCUCAACCUCGAGACGUCGGUCGAAACCAUCUGGCUAGAGUCCGGAAGAGGAGAGUGGAAUUCCUGGUGUAGCGGUGAAAUGCGCAGAUAUCAGGAGGAACACCAAUUGCGAAGGCAGCUCGCUGGGACGGUACUGACGCUGAGACGCGAAAGCGUGGGGAGCGAACAGG